AUUGAACGCUGGCGGCACGCCUAACACAUGCAAGUCGAGCGGCAGCAUGAUCGGUAGCAAUACUGAUUGAUGGCGAGCGGCGGACGGGUGCGUAACGCGUAGGAACAUGCCCAGAAGAGGGGGAUAACCAAGGGAAACUUUGGCUAAUACCGCGUAAUACUCGAGAGAGGAAAGCUGCCGCAAGGUGGCGCUUUUGGAGUGGCCUGCGUCCGAUUAGUUAGUUGGUGGGGUAAGAGCCUACCAAGGCGAUGAGCGGUAACUGGUCUGAGAGGACGACCAGUCACACUGGGACUGAGACACGGCCCAGACUCCUACGGGAGGCAGCAGUGGGGAAUCUUGGACAAUGGGGGGAACCCUGAUCCAGCGAUGCCGCGUGGGUGAAGAAGGCCUUCGGGUUGUAAAGCCCUUUAGUUUGGGAAGAAGGUAUGGGGAGGAUAAUGCCUUGUACUUGACGGUACCAAAAGAAUAAGCACCGGCAAACUCUGUGCCAGCAGCCGCAGUAAGAC
rnacentral:rRNA from 1 species